GUGUAGACCAGCUUUCAUUUUCAGUGCUCCCUUGUAUUUUCACUGCUUGAAUUCGAGUGAAGAUUUUCCCUCCUGACCUGGUGCCAUGCAGCUGCUCCAAUGCUGGGACAUCACUGGGCAAGGCCGAGACUCCUUCAGGCAUGUAGAAGAAAUGGAAACAAUGCAAUGUUGUGUUGGAAGGGGGGGACUGCAAGAAAGAAGUGGUCACGAGAAGAUUACCAAGAGGCUACUUAAGAUCUCCUUCUAAACAGGAACUUGGGCUGGAAAAGGAGAAGCAAAUACUCCAAAAGCUUUAGAAGUGAAGACCAAACAGCGGCUGCAAAUCGAUCAAGGGAGCCUGAGAAGCCUGAGGAGCCUCCAGAGAGCUGAUGGUGGAUGGCAUGGGCUGCAGGAAGGCGCUGCUCCGCGGCACUCAGCCAUGUCCCCUGGCUGCUGUGGGAGCUGCCUCCCUGCAACCCAGCUGUGCUGCACGGCGGCUCAGCAUCCCCAGGCAGUGCCUCCGGCCCUCUUCUGGGAAGCAAUUAUAACCCCAGGAUCCUACUAAUUUCCCAAGGGGAUUCGUAUCAAUACUGCUCAUAUUUGUAUAAAUCUCCAUUCCCAUAAAGGUUAGAAGCUCCGAAAGAAGAGAAUGAAACUUCGAAAAUGAGUGAGAUAAGUAACUGAGACAAAGAAAUUUGAUUUUACCCUACUUGGAUUCAUCAAGAUAGUUCGAAGGAUUCAAACAAACAUGCUGUGUUGGCAUGCAAUGCAGUGUUUUGCUUUGGUGAAGUUCUGUCUGCCAGAGUGAGCUGAAAACCAGAACAAGUUGGAUAGGAGCUCUGGACAUGUCCAAGAAAAACCUAGUUCUAGAGCAACGUGACAAGAUCAUCCUAUAACUAUUUUCUUCUUGAGCUAGUAAUGUGAAUGGAGGAAGAGUCACUCUCCAGUGUUCAAUGCGAGUGGGAUUUUGUUUUCGACUUCUAGCCCAGUGAAUGUUACAGCUGAAGAGUGCCCUUACUGAUUGCAGAACCACAGAAUGGCCAAGACUGACAGGGACAUCCAGGUCCAUCUCAUCCCAUCCCUGUUCAAGCAGGGACACCCAGAGCAGGUGUCCAGGACCAUGUCCAGGUGGCUUUGGAAGACCUUCAGGGAAGAGAAUCCACAGCCUCUGGGCAGCCUGUGCCAGUGCACCUUCAAAAUUAAAACAUGUUUCCUGAUGUUCAGAG
rnacentral:lncRNA from 7 species